rnacentral:rRNA from 1 species
AGUGAACGCUGGCGGUAGGCCUAACACAUGCAAGUCGAACGGCAGCACAGUAAGAGCUUGCCCUUACGGGUGGCGAGUGGCGGACGGGUGAGGAAUACAUCGGAAUCUACUUUUUCGUGGGGGAUAACGUAGGGAAACUUACGCUAAUACCGCAUACGACCUACGGGUGAAAGCAGGGGAUCUUCGGACCUUGCGCGAUUGAAUGAGCCGAUGUCGGAUUAGCUAGUUGGCGGGGUAAAGGCCCACCAAGGCGACGAUCCGUAGCUGGUCUGAGAGGAUGAUCAGCCACACUGGAACUGAGACACAGUCCAGACUCCUACGGGAGGCAGCAGUGGAGAAUAUUGGGCAAUGGGCGCGAGCCUGAUCCAGCCAUACCGCGUGGGUGAAGAAGGCCUUCGGGUUGUAAAGCCCUGUUGUUGGGAAAGAAGAGCAGCAGGUUAAUACCCCGCUGUUCUGACGGUACCCAAAGAAUAAGCACCGGCUAACUUCGUG